AGCCCAAAAAGUCUCACAUUGUGA
rnacentral:siRNA from 1 species